rnacentral:rRNA from 1 species
GACAGAGGUGCCAAGCGUUAGGCGGAAUCACUGGGCGUAAAGCGCACGUAGGCGGCUUUCUAAGUCAGGGGUGAAAUCCUGGAGCUCAACUCCAGAACUGCCUUUGAUACUGGAGAGCUUGAGUCCGGAAGAGGUGAGUGGAACUCCGAGUGUAGAGGUGAAAUUCGUAGAUAUUCGGAAGAACACCAGUGGCGAAGGCGGCUCACUGGUCCGGUACUGACGCUGAUGUGCGAAAGCGUGGGGAGCAAACAGG